rnacentral:lncRNA from 1 species
UUUUUCCCCAUUAUUUUACCGAUUUUUUCCAUUUUUUUCCCCAAUUUUUCCAUUUUUUCCCCAUUUUUUCCCCAUUUUUCCCCAUUUUCCCCCCAAUUUCCCCAUUAUUUUACCGAUUUUUCCCAUUUUUUUCUCCAAUUUUUCCAUUUUUUUCCCCAAUUUUUCCGUUUUUUCCCCAUUUCCCCCAUUUUUCCCCGUGUCUCACCUGUCCCUUGGAGCAGCCGGCGCGCAGCAGCAGCGCCAUGUCCCCCCUUUUUUCCCCCAUUUUUCCCCCAAUUUCCCCAUUUUUUCCCCCCAUUUUUCCCCCAAUUUCCCCAUUAUUUUACCGAUUUUUUCCAUUUUUUUCCCAUUUUUUCCCCAUUUUCCCCCAAAUCUCACCUGUCCCUUGGAGCAGCCGGCGUGCAGCAGCAGCGCCAUGUCCCCCCUUUUUUCCCCCAAUUUUCCGCCAUUUUUCCUCAUUUUUUCCCCAAUUUUCCCAUUAUUUUACCGAUUUUUCCCAUUAUUUUACCGAUUUUUCACAUUUUUCCCCCAUUUUCCCCCAAUCUCACCUGUCCCUUGGAGCAGCCGGCGCGCAGCAGCAGGGGCCAUUUUCCCCCAAAUUUUCUCUAUUUUCCCCAUUAUUUUACCGAUUUUUUCCAUUUUUUUCCCAUUUUUUCUCCGAUUUUCCCCAAUUUUUCCAUUUUUUUUUCCCAUUUUUCCCAUUUUUCCCCAUUUUCCCCCAUUUUUCCCCCAAUCUCACCUGUCCCUUGGAGCAGCCGGCGCGCAGCAGCUGGGGCCAAUUUUCCCCCCUUUUUUCCCCCAUUUUUUCCCCGAUUUUCCCCAUUUUUCCCCGAUUUUCCCCAUUAUUUUACCGAUUUUUUCCAUUUUUUUCCCAUUUUUCCCCCUUUUUUCCCCAAUUUCCCCAUUUUUUCCCCAUUUUCCCAAUUUCCCCCCAUUUUUCCCCCCGAAUCUGACCUGUCCCUUGGAGCAGCCGGCGCGCAGCAGCAGCGCCAUGUCCCCCCAUUUUUCCCCCAAUUUCCCCAUUUUUCCCCCAAUUUCCCCAUUAUUUUACCGAUUUUUUCCAUUUUUUUACCGAUUUUUUCCAUUUUUUUUCCCAAUUUCCCCAUUUUUUUCCCCAUUUUUCCCCAAUCUGACCUGUCCCUUGGAGCAGCCGGUGCGCAGCAGCAGCGCCAUGUCCCCCCAUUUUUUCCCUAUUUUCCCCAUUAUUUUACUGAUUUUCCCCAUUUUUUCCCCAAUUUCCCCAUUAUUUUAUCGAUUUUUUCCAUUAUUUUUCCCAUUUUUUCCCAUUUUUUCCCCAUUUUUCCCCGUUACCUGUCCCUUGGAGCAGCCGGCGCGCAGCAGCAGCGCCAUGUCCCCCCUUUUUUCCCCCAAUUUCCCCAUUAUUUUACCGAUUUUUUCCAUUUUUUCCCAUUUUUUCCCCAUUUUCCCCCAUUUUUCCCCAUUUUCCCCAAAUCUCACCUGUCCCUUGGAGCAGCCGGCGCGCAGCAGCAGCGCCAUGUCCCCCAUUUUUUCCCUAUUUUCCCCAUUAUUUUACUGAUUUUUCCCAUUUUUUUCCCCAAUUUCCCCAUUAUUUUACCGAUUUUUUCCAUUUUUUUUCCCAAUUUUUCCAUUUUUCCCCUUUUUCCCCAAUCUCACCUGUCCCUUGGAGCAGCCGGCGCGCAGCAGCAGCGCCAUGUCCCCCCUUUUUUCCCCCAUUUUUCCCUCAAUUUCCCCAUUUUUCCCCCAUUUUUCCCCCAUUUUUUCCCCAAUUUCCCCAUUUUUUCCCCGAUUUUCCCUAUUUUUUCCAUUUUUUCCCCAUUUUUCCCCAUUUUUCCCGUUACCUGUCCCUUGGAGCAGCCGGCGCGCAGCAGCAGCGCCAUGUCCCCCCUUUUUUCCCCCAUUUUUCCCCCAUUUUUCCCCCAAUUUCCCCAUUUUUUCCCCAUUUUUUCUCCGAUUUUCCCCAUUUUUUCCCCGUUUUUCCCCAAUUUCUCCAUUUUUUUCCCCAUUUUUCCCCCCAAUCUCACCUGUCCCUUGGAGCAGCCGGCGCGCAGCAGCUGGGGCCAUUUUUUUCCCUUUUCCCCCAAUUUUCCCCAUUUUUCCCCCAAUUUUCCCCAUUUUUCCCCCAUUUUUUCCCCAAUUUCCCCAUUUUUUCCCCAAUUUCCCCAUUAUUUUACCGAUUUUUCCCCAUUUUCCCCAUUUUUCCCCAGUCUCACCUGUCCCUUGGAGCAGCCGGCGCGCAGCCGCAGCGCCAUGUCCCCCCUUUUAUCCCCCAUUUUUCCCCUUUUUUCCCCCAUUUUUCCCCCAUUUUUUCCCCAAUUUCCCAUUAUUUUACUGAUUUUUCCCAUUUUUUCCCAUUUUUUCCCCGAUUUCCCCCAUUUUUUAACCGAUUUUUCCCCGUUUUCCCCCAUUUUUCCCCGUUACCUGUCCCUUGGAGCAGCCGGCGCGCAGCAGCAGCGCCAUGUCCCCCGUUUUUUCCCCUUUUUUCCCCCAUUUUUUCCCCAUUUUUCCCCGAUUUUUUCCAUUUUUUUUCCCAUUUUCCCCAUUUUUCCCGUUACCUGUCCCUUGGAGCAGCCGGCGCGCAGCAGCAGCGCCAUGUCCCCCCCCAUUUUUUCCCCCACUUUUUCCCCAAUUUCCCCAUUAUUUUACCGAUUUUUCCCAUUUUUUUCCCAUUAUUUUACCGAUUUUUCCCAUUAUUUUACCGAU